CUUGGAUUUUCUCCUGCUCACCCAGCUGUCCCCAGGAACCCCUUGUGUGAGUAAUUAACUUUUUAAAAGUGUAGAAUAUUAUGGAAAACCUAUUUUUUUUGCAAAUAAACAAAGAUCUGUGGCAACUUCAAAAAUGAAGGAAACAAGCACCUCCGUUGGAACUGUUCAACUUUCAACUUAAUUGGAGAGCUAAAAGUGGCCCUCAUUGAGUUACCCUGUGAGGAACUGAUACAAAAUGCUGAUCUGGCUGCUGUCAAGAGGAUGAAAUAGAUAAAGCAAGACAUAGACAAGUUCAGAGGAACAGAUUAGAGAAACCAAAAGUGGAGGCAAAGAUUGUGAUUGAAGCUAUUGCAGGAGUCGAGGUGAAAUGUUGGAGGCCUACUUCAGAGACCAGCUACAAUCAACCUUAAAAUCACCAAAUGACAAUAAUCAAACCACAAAAAAGAAGCAGCUGGUGCUUCUGCCUUUUAUGGGAGUUUUUACUUUUACAUUUCUUCCUUCAUGUAUUCAUUCACAAAUCCAAUGUUUACUCUCUCUGGCCUUAUUCCAGGUACUCGGUGUGCAGUGGUGAACAGAAUAGCUGUAUUGUCUGUACUCACGAGUAAUAGGAUUCUAGGAAAAAAUUCACGGCAUGCUCAGAUUUGAAAAAAAUAAAGAAUGCUGAGAAAAUAGAUUGGGUGAGAGAGUACACAAGAGGAAUCUGGAAUUGCAACAGAUGAAGAUGGCCUGGAUGCAGAUUUACAUUACAAUGUCUGAAUUCCUGGGAACUGUCAUAUUGUUCACCAUAGGGUGAGUGCAUAAUCAAAUGUCAGUGUUCACAGGUGACACAAAAGGCAGGAGGACAAUUUUACUAGGUUGGUGAGAGAAACUAAUGAGUUUCUCUGGGAGGCAAGUAUAGUGAAGUUUUACAAGGAGACCAGGAAAAAUGUUCACACUUAUUUUUCUAGGAUCAUGUGCUCUUAAUUAUUAACUGUAAACUUGAAACAUGUUUAGGAUUAUUAAAAAUUUUUUGUUUGUUUUUUUAAAUGUAAUGACAGAAUAGUGGUUGAUUGUGAUUAAAAAGAUCAAAUAAACAUUCUCUUUUUUUUUAAUGGUAUUAGACUUAUGUAGCCCAAUUUCUUUUAAGCACUCAGCUAGUAGGUUAACACCAGUUGGCAUGAUUGGUAUUUUGGGUAGUUACGUUGAAUUCAUCUUGGGAAAAUUUGCAAAAUAUAUUUUAUUGGCAUUUUUAUAUACUUUAUUAUUAUAGUUCUUAGUAGUACACGUUAAGGGAGACUUGAAGAAAUCUGCCAAAUUGCUAUUAAGUAGUUAAUAGUAUUGAAAUGCUAUUAAGUAUUAAUAGUAAGGAUAAAAGACAUAUCAAUCUGAUAUGAAAAUUCAUAAAAUAGCAGAUCCAAAUGGCCAAAUACACAUAAAACACGCUCAAACACAAUACUAUGGAAAUUUAAAAUAAAUGAACACUAAUUUUUUAAUCUAAUUUAAUUGGCAAAAAACAAGCCAUAAUAUAGAAAAACGAUGCUUUUAUUUACUGUUAAUGGAAAUAAGUUUACAUCCUUUUUGGACACAAUUUGAUGAUUACAAUGAAAAGACAUAUGGCUGUAAGUAACAGAAGUCUAAUACGGCAGUGGUAAAAUAAAACGCAGUCAUGCUUCACUUAAUGAUGAGGACAUGUUCUGAGAAAUGCAUCAUUAGGUGAUUUCUUUGUUGUGUGAAUAUCACACAGUGUACUUACACAAACCUAGAUGGUAUAGCCUACUAUGCACCUAGACUAUGUGGUGGCUCCUAGGCUAAAAUCCUGCACAGUAUAUUAUUGUACUUAAUACUGUAGUCAAUUGUAACACAAUGGUAUUUGUGUAUCUAAACAUAUCUAACCAUAAAGAAGGCAUAAUGAAAAUAUGGUAUAAAAGAUAAGAAAUGGUGCACCUGCAUAGGACACUUAACCAUGAAUGGAGCUGGCAGUACUGGAAGAUUGUCUGGGUUAAGUCAGUGAGUGAGUGGUCAGUGAAUAUGAAGACUUAGGACAUUAUGGUACACUAUCAUAGAUUUUAUGAACACAGUACACU
rnacentral:lncRNA from 10 species